UACGUAGGCAGCAAGCGUUGUUCGGAGUUACUGGGCGUAAAGGGUGUGUAGGCGGUUGGAUAAGUGUGGUGUGAAAUCUCCCGGCUCAACUGGGAGGGUGCGCUACAAACUGUCUGACUAGAGUGUGGGAUGGGUAAGUGGAAUUCCUGGUGUAGCGGUGAAAUGCGUAGAUAUCAGGAGGAAUACCGAUGGCGAAGGCAGGUCUCUGGGCUGACACUGACGCUCAUGCACGAAAGCGUGGGGAGCAAACAGG
rnacentral:rRNA from 1 species